GUUUUAUGAUGAAAUCCAUGCGUGUCAACUGAUCCCAGAAUCCCCUGAUGCUCUGCUCCCCCUGCCGGCGUUCUGUUGGCAGGUGUGGACGGGGUGUCAGUGCUCUGGGGCCAUGAUCAUUUCUUAACCUUGGCUGAGAAC